AACACCGAUGGCGAAGGCAGGUCUCUGGGCUGUAACUGACGCUGAGGAGCGAAAGCAUGGGGAGCGAACAGGAUUAGAUACCCUGGUAGUCCAUGCCGUAAACGUUGGGCACUAGGUGUGGGGACCAUUCCACGGUUUCCGCGCCGCAGCUAACGCAUUAAGUGCCCCGCCUGGGGAGUACGGCCGCAAGGCUAAAACUCAAAGGAAUUGACGGGGGCCCGCACAAGCGGCGGAGCAUGCGGAUUAAUUCGAUGCAACGCGAAGAACCUUACCAAGGCUUGACAUGUUCUCGAUCGCCGUAGAGAUACGGUUUCCCCUUUGGGGCGGGUUCACAGGUGGUGCAUGGUUGUCGUCAGCUCGUGUCGUGAGAUGUUGGGUU
rnacentral:rRNA from 1 species